ACGGGGUGCAGCAGGCGCGAAACCUUCGCAAUGCGCGAAAGCGCGACGAGGUUACUCCGGGUGUUACCCGCUGAGGGUGACUUUUGCUAGGUAUAAAUAACCCAGAGAAUAAGGGGAGGGCAAGUCUGGUGUCAGCCGCCGCGGUAAUACCAGCUCCCCGAGUGGUCGGGAUGUUUAUUGGGCCUAAAGCAUCCGUAGCCGGUCUUGUAGGUCUUUUGUUAAAUCCAACGGCCCAACCGUUGGGCUGCAGGAGAUACCGCAGGACUAGGAGGCGGGAGAGGUGGAUGGUACUCAAUGUGUAGGGGUAAAAUCCUUUGAUCCAUUGAAGACCACCAGUGGCGAAGGCGGUCCACCAGAACGCGCUCGACGGUGAGGGAUGAAAGCUGGGGGAGCGAACCGGAUUAGAUACCCGGGUAGUCCCAGCUGUAAACGAUGCGAGCUAGGUGAUGGGGUGGCUACGAGCCAUCCCGGUGCCCCAGGGAAGCCGUUAAGCUCGCCGCCUGGGAAGUACGGCCGCAAGGCUGAAACUUAAAGGAAUUGGCGGGGGAGCAC
rnacentral:rRNA from 1 species